rnacentral:snRNA from 1 species
AGCUUUGUGCAGUGGAAGUAUCAUAGCCGACGAGGUUUAUCUUAGGAAUGAUUAUUGCUAAUUGAAAAGGUUCUCCAAUAUAGUCAGCUGGCAUUGGCAAUAUUUGACAGUCUCUACAUAGA